rnacentral:rRNA from 1 species
AGGGAAUCUUCCGCAAUGGACGAAAGUCUGACGGAGCAACGCCGCGUGAGUGAUGAAGGUUUUCGGAUCGUAAAGCUCUGUUGCCAGGGAAGAACGUCCGUUAGAGUAACUGCCAGGAGAGUGACGGUACCUGAGAAGAAAGCCCCGGCUAACUACGUGCCAGCAGCCGCGGUAAUACGUAGGGGGCAAGCGUUGUCCGGAAUUAUUGGGCGUAAAGCGCGCGCAGGCGGCUGUUUAAGUCUGGUGUAUAAUCCUGGGGCUCAACUCCGGGUCGCACUGGAAACUGGAUGGCUUGAGUGCAGAAGAGGAGAGUGGAAUUCCACGUGUAGCGGUGAAAUGCGUAGAGAUGUGGAGGAACACCAGUGGCGAAGGCGACUCUCUGGGCUGUAACUGACGCUGAGGCGCGAAAGCGUGGGGAGCAAAC